AGCUUUGCGCAGUGGCAGUAUCAUAGCCAAUGAGGUAUAUCUGAGGUGCGAUUAUUGCUAAUUGAAAACUUUUCCCAAUACCCCCUGCUAUGACGACUUGAAAUAUAGUUGGCAUUGGCAAUUUUUGACAGUCUCUAUGGAGA
ensembl:snRNA U4 U4 spliceosomal RNA